GACGAAACGCCGGCGGCGUGCUUAACACAUGCAAGUCGACAGGAAAAGCCCACCACUUUAUGGUGGUGGGCACUCGAGUGGCGAACGGAUGAGUAACACGUGGGUGAUCUGCCCCGCACUGUGGGAUAAGCCAGGGAAACUGGGUCUAAUACCACAUACGACCAAGGCGUAGGGGUCUUGGUGGAAAGCCUUAUGCGGUGUGGGAUGAGCCCGCGGCCUAUCAGCUUGUUGGUGGGGUAAUGGCAUACCAAGGCGGCGACGGGUAGCCGGCCUGAGAGGGUGGACGGCCACAUUGGGACUGAGACACGGCCCAGACUCCUACGGGAGGCAGCAGUGGGGAAUAUUGCACAAUGAGCGCAAGCCUGAUGCAGCGACGCCGCGUGGGGGAUGACGGCCUUCGGGUUGUAAACUCCUUUCGCCCGGGACGAAGCCCACCUGGUGGGUGACGGUGCCGUGGAGAAGAAGCACCGGCUAACUACGUGCCAGCAGCCGCGGUAAUACGUAGGGUGCAAGCGUUGUCCGGAUUUACUGGGCGUAAAGAGCUCGUAGGUGGUGUGUCGCGUCGUCUGUGAAAUUCCGGGGCUUAACUCCGGGCGUGCAGGCGAUACGGGCACGACUAGAGUGCUGUAGGGGUAACUGGAAUUCCUGGUGUAGCGGUGAAAUGCGCAGAUAUCAGGAGGAACACCGAUGGCGAAGGCAGGUUACUGGGCAGUUACUGACGCUGAGGAGCGAAAGCAUGGGGAGCGAACAGG
rnacentral:rRNA from 1 species